UACAGCUAUAUCAUGUUGAAACAACAAUUCCCAUACGAUUACCGAAGUUAAGCAACGUCGAUCCUGGUCAGUACGUAGAAGGGUAACCGCUUGGGAAUACCUGGUGCUGUAAG